rnacentral:lncRNA from 1 species
AAGCUCCAAUCUAUUACAGAAACAAUCUGGCCAUGCUGCAGCGAUUCAAACAACAAUAAUGAAAGUGAAGAAUUUGCAAAAAGAGAAAAGCAAUGAGUGAAGGUUCAAUAGCAGGUUUCAGAUGGAGAUUUGUGAAAAAAAAAGUUUUACCUUUUGGAGGACAUGAUGUAACCUCUCCCACUGGUUUGUUGAGAUGCUUUAUAUAAACAUGAGUAUUGUUUGAACAGAGGGCAACGACUACAAGAAAAACGAAACAAAUGUCAAAGCACAUAAGCAGUUGCAGAUUUAAAGAAACAUGUUAAAGCCAUAUGUAAACAAGACAUUCAGAUUAAAUCAAACACGUAGUACAAAGAAAUUGGGAAUUACUUAUAGUUGCCACAGUUCCCAUAGGCUGGCAUGGACUAGCUCAAAAAGUGAAGUGAAACUGACAAGGAAGACUUGUUGAUUUCGGGGAAGACCAGCACUAGAAUCAGAUUGUCCAUUAUAUGUCAAGCGUUAUCUUUUUUGUUCCGAAUCUUCUUCUUCAUUCUUCAAACCAUCAACGAGACUCAAAAGAAACCGUACACCUGUUUCACAGAAACCCAUAAAAAUACAAACUUUAAAUCAACUCGGAACUGUAACAAGGAAGAUUUAUCAUAAGAAUUAGACUCAAAUCACGGACCUAGUUGUUAGGGCACUCAAAUAGUAGAAAAAAACAUGUAAAAACAAAAGAUUCUCACACCAAAAUCGUUUCAGUAACUCAGUGAAAUAUCAAAAUCGAUUCAUAGAUUCAGAAGAAGGCGAACAAGGAAUACCUCUGCUUUGUUCCCUCGUCGCCAUUAGAACAAGCUCUCUCUGUCUCUGAGGAUUCUUUCUCUUGGUUGUUGCUCUCGUCGCCAUUACAAUUUUGUUUUUCUCUUCGUGAAGGAGUUGUGUCAGCAAGUGAAUAUGAGACCUCACUCUUCUUAUAUAGAGGACCCAUUAAAAAUACAGGAAAAAGAACAAAUCAUAUUUUUCGG